rnacentral:rRNA from 1 species
AUUGAACGCUGGCGGCAGGCCUAACACAUGCAAGUCGAGCGAGCGGCGGACGGGUGAGUAAUGUAUGGGGAUCUGCCCGAUAGAGGGGGAUAACUACUGGGAACGGUGGCUAAUACCGCCUACUAGCGGAUGACCCCAUAUGGGAUUGGCUAGUAGGUGGGGUAAAGGCUCACCAAGGCGACGAUCUCUAGCUGGUCUGAGAGGAGGAGCAGCCAAAUUGGGACUGAGACACGGCCCAGACUCCUACGGGAGGCAGCAGUGGGGAAUAUUGCACAAUGGGCGCAAGCCUGAUGCAGCCAUGCCGCGUGUAUGAAGAAGGCCUUAGGGUUGUAAAGUACUUUCAGCGGGGAGGCGUUACCCGCAGAAGAAGCACCGGCUAACUCCGUGCCAGCAGCCGCGGUAAUAC